rnacentral:rRNA from 1 species
GAAUUCGCCCUUAGAGUUUGAUCCUGGCUCAGGACGAACGCUGGCGGCGCGCCUAACACAUGCAAGUCCAACGAGCGAGAGAGAGCUUGCUUUCUCAAGCGAGUGGCGAACGGGUGAGUAACGCGUGAGGAACCUGCCUCAAAGAGGGGGACAACAGUUGGAAACGACUGCUAAUACCGCAUAAGCCCACAGGUCGGCAUCGACCAGAGGGAAAAGGAGCAAUCCGCUUUGAGAUGGCCUCGCGUCCGAUUAGCUAGUUGGUGAGGUAACGGCCCACCAAGGCAACGAUCGGUAGCCGGACUGAGAGGUUGAACGGCCACAUUGGGACUGAGACACGGCCCAGACUCCUACGGGAGGCAGCAGUGGGGAAUAUUGCACAAUGGGGGAAACCCUGAUGCAGCGACGCCGCGUGGAGGAAGAAGGUCUUCGGAUUGUAAACUCCUGUUGUUGAGGAAGAUAAUGACGGUACUCAACAAGGAAGUGACGGCUAACUACGUGCCAGCAGCCGCGGUAAAACGUAGGUCACAAGCGUUGUCCGGAAUUACUGGGUGUAAAGGGAGCGCAGGCGGGAAGACAAGUUGGAAGUGAAAUCUAUGGGCUCAACCCAUAAACUGCUUUCAAAACUGUUUUUCUUGAGUAGUGCAGAGGUAGGCGGAAUUCCCGGUGUAGCGGUGGAAUGCGUAGAUAUCGGGAGGAACACCAGUGGCGAAGGCGGCCUACUGGGCACCAACUGACGCUGAGGCUCGAAAGUGUGGGUAGCAAACAGGAUGAGAUACCCUGGUAGUCCACACCGUAAACGAU